UAUAGACACGACAAAAACAUC
rnacentral:piRNA from 1 species